UAGAAAGCUUACCUUUCCUAAAUUCUUCGA
rnacentral:piRNA from 1 species